GACGAACGGUGCGAGCGUUGUUCGGAAUUACUGGGCGUAAAGGGCGCGUAGGCGGCCUUCGAAGUCGAACGUGAAAUCCCCGGGCUCAACCCGGGAACUGCGUCCGAUACUGGAAGGCUUGAAUCCGGGAGAGGGAUGCGGAAUUCCAGGUGUAGCGGUGAAAUGCGUAGAUAUCUGGAGGAACACCGGUGGCGAAGGCGGCAUCCUGGACAGGCAUUGACGCUGAGGCGCGAAAGCCAGGGGAGCAAACGGG
rnacentral:rRNA from 1 species